rnacentral:lncRNA from 1 species
AUUCUGUUCAGGAUAAUGUAAAUUGUUCUAAAUAUUGUUUUCUUAGUACCUGUUGAAAUGCUACAUAUUUUUUUUUUUAGCAUCAUUGUCAAAAUUCCUAUUUUCAUCCCAGUGCCGGUGAAGACAAAGAUAAAACCAAACUACAACUUCUUCGAGAGUUAUCACAACAAACGGUGUAAACUGAUACAUCAAUGAUUUAUAACUCAACAAGUAAUGCUCAAUCAAUGAGUCGAUUUAUUUUGGGAGGAUAUGGACAUAUUGAUAGAUUCCUUUGCUUUGAACUGCUUACAGAACUUGCCUGGACUAUGUAUCACUUGUAUGCUUUGUGAUCUAUUUGUUGAUGCAGCGAAUUAUGGUAGUGCUAGCGUAUCUUUGCUGAUGUGUCACCAGUGAUGCAAUUUUUCCUAGGAGCCGUUAAUUGACUUGGUGUCAUGACAUUUCUGUAUCCUCCUCCCUUCUACUAGUGAUGGUCUAAAUUUGGGGGCCAACAGAGGUGAGGCAAAGAACCUCACCCCCCCACUGGUACAUAGGCCUAUCCACAAGUAUGGCUAUAUGCUGGACCGGUAGUCAGUGACGGGUAUGAUCCAAUUGCAGUGGUAUCAACCUAAGACAGGAGGCUGACGCCUAAAAGUCAGUUUUC